CACUGGUGCAGCCCCACCUCAAGUCCUGUGUGCAGACAUCUUCCUGUUGCUGCUACUUUUUCUGCGGUAUGGAUCACACCAGCUGCUGUGAUUCAUUCCUUCCUGCAUAGGAGCACGGCCACGUUCAUCCAACCAACUUAGACACAUUAUUGACAGAUGUUGCCAAAAGGGUACAAGUUUAUGAGCCACCUCAGAGCAGUUUAUUUAAAUUCUUUAUUGGAUUAUGAAACAACUGAAACUUCCCCUCGACAUGUACAUACACAUUUAGCAAAAAUAAUAAUGCAGGAAGAAGCUUUGAUAGUUGAGAUCCCACAUUCUGCUAUUUGCUUCUUUCCACCCAACCACAAAACAAAAUGUGGGGGGAAAGGGCUGAUCACAAUGUUAACAGAUACCAUUAUGACCCCAAGAAGAGAGAAAGUUCUUGAACUGUUAAUAGCUGCCACUAUGCAAAGCAAUAUCUGUUUUAAUUUUGCUUCUCACCUUUUAAAGUAAUGCAUUCUUAUUCAUGUUGAAUAGACAUUACAAAGCACUCAAGAAACACAACCAGGAUCUGCUAAUCCCAUUGCAGGAACUUUUAUCUUCUACUCAACAUUUGAACUAUGCAUCUUUCAAAUGAUCGCAGCAUUUUGCAUCAUCUCUCAAGGACAUUCCAAAUGUCCAUUCAGCUUAAUAGUUCAGGAUUUCUAAGCUCCUGAGCUGAAUUCCCAGCUUUUGCUCUUUAUGUCAUUGGUCUAUGGAUGCAAUGUGGAUGUUCCAAUGCCAACGUGAACUAGAUUGAAGUAGGAAUUGGGAACAGUUCAAGUUAGUCCAUGUGUGAGUAAUAAACCCAGCAGCCAUGUUUUAAAUGCCCCUCCCCAUGGCUCAUGCAAUGAGAAUUACAAUCUUGUUUGGGAUGGGAUCAUCUCCCAGUUGCGAAUUAACUCUGAAACUGCAAAAUUUAGAGUUGGAAAUGCUAUAGUAGGAAAAAGGAGUGUCAUCUAGUCCAGCCACUUGCAGUUUAAGCACAGUAAUAUUGCUGGGUGAGAUACUUGCUUUAGUGUACAUCAACCACAAAAACCGUGCUCUCCCUUACAGUGAGCCACUGCACUGUACCUGCUUUCUUAGUGAUGUAAACAGCCAUUUCAAAGGGCAUGUUUGGUGAUAGCACAUUGUAAAUCCUCUUGUGCCUACCUGUAAAGGCUAAGGUGAGCCUUGCAGGGCCUUCGCAUCCAAAUGGAAGUGAGCACCUCUAUUCUCUGCCCCUUCCACUGCCUUUGGGGACAACCAGAUUACCUUCCUUGCCAGCUAGAUGUUCACCAUCAUCACCAAACCCUACAGCACUACCUCAUUUCAUGCUUCAGAGCUGAAAUCGGUCACCUACCUACAUCAGGAAUAAUCCUAUUUUGCAGCUUGCUUCCUCACCAGCCCUGGGCGCAUCAGGGAUUUGUUCUCUUCUCCCUCAAAGCACUGAGCUGGAAGCAAAAGCCUGGAAGAAAACACCCUUUUGAGCAGG